UCUCAAGCCUGAGGUGACCCCUCUCUGAGGC
rnacentral:piRNA from 1 species